rnacentral:rRNA from 1 species
GACGAACGCUGGCGGCGUGCUUAACACAUGCAAGUCGAACGGAAAGGCCCUGCUUUUGUGGGGUGCUCGAGUGGCGAACGGGUGAGUAACACGUGAGUAACCUGCCCUUGACUUUGGGAUAACUUCAGGAAACUGGGGCUAAUACCGGAUAGGAGCUCCUGCUGCAUGGUGGGGGUUGGAAAGUUUCGGCGGUUGGGGAUGGACUCGCGGCUUAUCAGCUUGUUGGUGGGGUAGUGGCUUACCAAGGCUUUGACGGGUAGCCGGCCUGAGAGGGUGACCGGCCACAUUGGGACUGAGAUACGGCCCAGACUCCUACGGGAGGCAGCAGUGGGGAAUAUUGCACAAUGGGCGGGAGCCUGAUGCAGCAACGCCGGGUGCGGGAUGACGGCCUUUGGGGUGUAAACCGCUUUCGCCUGUGACGAAGCGUGAGUGACGGUAAUGGGUAAAGAAGCACCGGCUAACUACGUG